UUUGAUGGAGAUUGAGGGACU
rnacentral:siRNA from 1 species